rnacentral:misc_RNA from 1 species
UGUACACACCGCCCGUCACACCAUGGAAGUUAGCCACGCCCGAAGUCGUUACUCCAACCCUUGUGGAGGAGGACGCCGAAGGUGGGGCUGAUGACUGGGGUGAAGUCGUAACAAGGUAGCCGUACCGGAAGGUGCGGCUGGAUCACCUCCUAACAGGGAGACAAAUGAGAUAUUGAUGUCUGAGCCAAUUUGAGCUUAGGCCGAUAUCCUGUCAUCUCGAAGGUCGAUCGGUAUCUCAAGGAAAGGUCCGCUGAAACAGCGGAAGCCUUUCUUUCAGUUUCUCAACUUCUGUCUAGGUCACCCCAAUUGUCUUGUCUCCUGGGCCAUUAGCUCAGGUGGUUAGAGCGCACCCCUGAUAAGGGUGAGGUCCCUGGUUCAAGUCCAGGAUGGCCCAUUCGUGUUUGGGGGUUUAGCUCAGUUGGUAGAGCGCCUGCUUUGCAAGCAGGAUGUCAGCGGUUCGAGUCCGCUAACCUCCAUCAACGUUUUUUGAAGCAGACCUCUGGACCACAGGAGCGGAUCCUGUGGGACGAUCUAGACAUUGUACUGGUGAAGAAAAUGAUUUCAGCAUCUUUUCAUUCCUCUUGUUGAGGGGUUGAAAAGACGCUGAAUUCACCAGAUGUUCACAGGUGUGAACAGAUGGAGAUUCAGCAGAACCUUGACAACUGCAUAGGUGAGUCUGGAAAGAAAGCAUCUCAUGGAUGUCCAGGAGCGACAGCAACUGGAAAAAUUCUUGAGUUUAAGAGCCGAGCAUCCGUUGUCAGAUGUGUGAUGAGCACAGUGAGAACGGAUGAUCAAAUGGUCAAGCUACAAAGGGCUCACGGUGGAUACCUAGGCACACAGAGA